CAACACCAGUAUACUACAAGCAAUAAUUUAUUCUCAUAAUUUUAUGUUCAUAAUAAUUAAAUAUUAAUUCAAGGCAUUAUUAGCAGCAUUGCAUUUGACAAACUUCUAUUAAAAUCUUAACCCGUUUAAUUCUUACACACGCAUCAAUAAUUAGGGGCUACAAAACAAACUGCAAAUAAAGCAAGAUAUGUCAUUAAGUGAUGAGGCAAGACCUUUUUAUACCUUGUUUUGUGAACUUAUUUCUUUAAAGAUUGUCUGAGAAAAAUAAAUAAAAAUAAAAUUAUGUUUUCUCAUUUACUAAAAUGAUUUUGCCAUAACCAUCUAGGUGGAGGAGAAUAAAAAAUAAAAUGUUAUUAAUGGAUCACACAGUGUAGUUAUGAGAUUAAUCAAUGCUUUAAAGUUAUACAAUUAAGGAAGAAAUGUAUAUAUAUAUCUUAUUUUCAGGGAAGUGGAGAGCAUAAUUUGACGUUUGUAUGGUGUCUUUUUUAUGAUUGGUUUGAUGUAUUUUCUAAUUGUUUAUGCCAGAUGUGAAUAGACCAAUAAAGUUUAUCUUAUCUCUUAUCUUAAUAAAAUAUAAAAUUUAAAUUUUCUUAAUAAACUUUUGUGUGGUGGUGGCUUCACUUAUUGGCCAUUUUUAUUUCAAAUCAUCUUUAUUGGCGUGCGGCAGGUUCGUUAAACAAGGUAU